rnacentral:rRNA from 1 species
GUCUAUGGCCAUACCACCCUGAACAUACCCGAUCUUGUCUGAUCUCAGAAGCUAAGCAGAGUCAGGCCUGGUUAGUAUUCGGAAGGGAGGAAACAGAGUCGUGCCCAAAUUCCAACAACUAGUAAGGGAUAGAGU